CCUACGGGCGGCAGCAGUGAGGAAUAUUGGUCAAUGGGCGAGAGCCUGAACCAGCCAAGCCGCGUGAGGGAAGAAGGUCCUAUGGAUUGUAAACCUCUUUUGUCGGGGAGCAAAAAGGCCUAGUGAGCCCACAAGUGAGGGUACACGAAGAAAAAGCAUCGGCUAACUCCGUGCCAGCAGCCGCGGUAAUCCGGAGGAUGCGGGCGUUAUUGGGAUUUAUUGGGUUUAAAGGGUGCGUAGGCGGACUGGAAAGUCAGCGGUAAAAUCGAGAGGCUCAACCUCUUUCCGCCGUUGAAACUGGCGGUCUAGAGUGGGCGAGAGGUAGGUGGAAUGCGUGGUGUAGGGGUGAAAUGCAUAGAUAUCACGCAGAACUCCGAUUGCGAAGGCAGCAUACCGGCGCCCGACUGACGCUGAGGCACGAAAGCGUGGGGAUCGAACAGGAUUAGAUACCCGAGUAGUC
rnacentral:rRNA from 1 species